CACUGAUUGGGAGAACUUGGCCCUUGCACAGCAGUGCUAAACCUAGAAUUAUGUUAUCACAGAUCAUUUUCUUCUGACAUGCUUAGAGCUGCGUAGGGAAGGAGAAGGAAGACAGCCAUCAACAGUAGCCCCAGCCUGCUCACACUGGACCCCAGGAAAGCCAACAUUAGUGAUGUCCCGAACGGUUCGCCACGGACGGCGAACACAAACAUAAAUUUUGAC